GACUCCUAUAACCUAACCAAGCUUCUUCUUGCUUCUCAAAGCUUUGAUGGUGUAGCCGUAGUCCGUAUGAGUCUUUGUCUUUGUAUCUUCGAACAAGGAUAUAAUACUUAGGCUUUUAAGAUCCAGUUGCGGUUCUAGUUGUUAUACUCACUCAUACACCUGACAUUUAGUCAA
rnacentral:sRNA from 1 species